CGGUUUUUAUGUUCCUCUUGACUUAUCCCUGGAUCAAAACAUCUUGGCAAAGACAAGUAUAUUAUACCAAAAUAAAGGGAUUUAUAAAAUGAUAUAAACAUAGAACAAUUAACCCUUAAAUCAGUUGUGGCAGCAAGAACUUCUUGUUCUUUCUUUGCCUUGUACUCACCUUGGUUUCCUGUAAUAAUUUCACUUUUCCUUGGACAAGACAAGUGCAUUAAUCUUGUCAUGGAAUUAAUAAUAUCAUGAUGAUCUAUAGUGAAAUUUAUCUCAGGUUUUGGCACUUGAACAAUCUUUUGUUCAGAUUUCGGUUUCCACUUGUGGUGUGGAUUUUGAUUGAGAUC
rnacentral:lncRNA from 1 species